rnacentral:rRNA from 1 species
UACGGAGGGUGCGAGCGUUGUCCGGAAUCACUGGGCGUAAAGGGCGCGUAGGCGGCCUGAUAAGUAGGGGGUGAAAUCCUGCGGCUUAACCGCAGGGCUGCCUUCUAAACUGUCAGGCUUGAGCACAGUAGAGGCAGGUGGAAUUCCCGGUGUAGCGGUGGAAUGCGUAGAGAUCGGGAAGAACAUCAGUGGCGAAGGCGGCCUGCUGGGCUGUUGCUGACGCUGAGGCGCGAACCAGCGUGGGGAGCAAACAGGG